rnacentral:rRNA from 1 species
GACGAACGCUGGCGGCGUGCUUAACACAUGCAAGUCGAACGAAGUGGCGAACGGGUGAGUAACGCGUAAUCAACCUGCCCUUCCGAGGGGGACAACAGUUGGAAACGACUGCUCAUACCGCAUACUGAAGGGGGGGAUUGCGUCUGAUUAGAUAGUUGGAGGGGUAACGGACCACCAAGGCGAGGAUCAGUAGCCGGUCUGAGAGGAUGAACGGCCAAAUUGGGACUGGGACACGGCCCAGACUCCGACGGGAGGCAGCAGUGGGGAAUCUUCCGCAAUGGACGAAAGUCUGACGGAGCAACGCCGCGUGAGUGAUGACGGCCUUCGGGUUGGAAAGCUCUGUUAAUCGGGACGCGGUACCGGAAUAGAAAGCCACGGCUAACUACGUGCCAGCAGCCGCGGUAAUUC